rnacentral:rRNA from 1 species
UACGAAGGGGGCUAGCGUUGUUCGGAAUUACUGGGCGUAAAGGGCGCGCAGGCGGCACGGCAAGUCAGGCGUGAAAGCCCCGGGCUCAACCCGGGAGGUGCGCUUGAUACUGCCGAGCUGGAGUUCGGGAGAGGAUGGUGGAAUUCCCAGUGUAGAGGUGAAAUUCGUAGAUAUUGGGAAGAACACCGGUGGCGAAGGCGGCCAUCUGGACCGAAACUGACGCUGAGGCGCGAAAGCGUGGGGAGCAAACAGG